rnacentral:tRNA from 1 species
GCAUGUCGGAAUUGGCAGACGAGACAGACUCAAAAUCUGUUGUCCUUUUUGGGCGUGUGGGUUCGACCCCCACCACCGGCA